UACGAAGGGGGCUAGCGUUGCUCGGAAUCACUGGGCGUAAAGCGCACGUAGGCGGCUUGUUAAGUCGGGGGUGAAAUCCUGGAGCUCAACUCCAGAACUGCCCUCGAUACUGAUGAGCUCGAGUCCGGGAGAGGUGAGUGGAACUGCGAGUGUAGAGGUGAAAUUCGUAGAUAUUAGGAAGAACACCAGUGGCGAAGGCGGCUCACUGGUCCGGUACUGACGCUGAGGUGCGAAAGCGUGGGGAGCAAACAGG
rnacentral:rRNA from 1 species